ensembl:rRNA 5S_rRNA 5S ribosomal RNA
GUCUACGGCCAUAGUACCCUGAAUGCACCCAAUCUCUUCUGAUCUCGGAAGCUAAGUAGGGUUGGGCAUGGUUAGUACUUGGAUGGGAGAUUGCCUGGGAAUACUGGGUGCUGUAGGCU